rnacentral:lncRNA from 1 species
CAGUCCCGGAUUAGAUCCAGACAUAACUCCAUUAGCACAAAGAAGAGGAGAAAGAAUUUGGGUAGAUAGAGAGCACUUUCUGCUAUAUUCCUAAUGCCUGUGUGAUGUUUAUCAAGCUUUUCAACUACUGAAUUUUCACCCUAGUUCUGCACGACAGUUAUUAGGAUCCCAGUUCUACAGAGGUGCUUAAGUAAAGCACAUGAAGUCUCACAGUUGAGAGCUGAUCUAAGCUUCAAUUUCAGGUCUGCUGGUCAGUGGUUUCUCUAUUAUAAAUACCAAAUUGAAAUAUUUGCAUUGCACAUAGUCAUUAGCAUAAAUUUGCAUACGAUGGAGUUUGAGGGACAAAGAAGCAUCAUUGUGAAAGGUAAUGGGAAGAGCUAAAGCAUGCCACACAGGCCCAGGGCUGGUCUCCAAGUAUUAAGAGGACUCUAGAUAACCUGAUGAGAAUUUAAGAAGUGAAAUUUCUUUUCAAAGAGUGGAGAGGGUGGAGCUGAUGUACUGUUGGUAAUUGAAGCAUUUGCUCAUUUUUCUCUCACUCUCAAUUGGCUUUCAAAGCACAUCCAAGGACAGAAGAAUUGCAAGAAACAUUCUGAUUAGGGGUAAAAGUGAAUCAAUAAAGGAGGCCAGAAUCUGAAAAUACUAAAAAUAAAGAUAUAUAUGGUCGUUCCCCGCACACAGAGAAAUGGUUUUGUACGGGCAGGUGGGUUUGCAGAUUGCUAGAGAAGCUAACCUCCCUCCCAUCCUCCACCCAUCAGGCACACUCAUAAAUCAUUUGCUGCUUCAACUCUUUUAUGCUUGCUAUGAAAAUCCAGCCAUAAACUGCCGAUAAACCAAGCUCCUGCCUUUUGGAGGCAUCAUCAAGCAAUCCCUGAGCACAACUUGGAAAAAUCCUACCUGGUUUCCUCUUCUGUGUAAAUGAAAUUUCUACAAAAACAAAGAGUCCCUAAGUAUGGGAGGUAUAAUUAUUUCUAGUUGGAACCUUCAAAAAAGAUGGCGAUUCUAAUAUUUCAGGAUGGUUUCUCUUCUAACUCCCUCCCUAUGCACAGUAAUAUGAUUUUACAGAAAUAAAG